ncrna:unclassified sequences type-P1 twister ribozyme
GCCGUAAUGCGGCUUAUCGAGUUUUUGAUAAACGGUUACAAGCCCGUGUAAACGCAGAGUGAGGA